rnacentral:tRNA from 3 species
UCGUUCGCCGGCGGAUGUAGCCAAGUGGAUUAAGGCAGUGGAUUGUGAAUCCACCAUGCGCGGGUUCAAUUCCCG